UGUUAAUUUUUGUUACUUGGAUUAAAUAAAUUUGUUCUUAAAAAAUGUUCUGUUUUUUUCGAUUUGAAAUUAUGGUCACCGUAUACAUACUACAUAUUAGCUGUCAUCGAUUGGCUAAACGUUAUAGAGAAGCCAAAAGAACGCACUAUCCUGUAAUUCAAACAGACAGGCAGCACUUAUGGUGCAAGCCAGCACUAAAAUUUCCUCUUAAUCAUGCGCAAUAGUGCUGAACCAUUUUCUUAGGUGGAUAAAAUUUUUAUUCCUUUGUUUCGAGCUUCGUCUAUGCUUUACCAUUGUGUAUAGUAUACAUAUGUAAAACAAAAUUUGGCAGCACUGAGCAAGCGGCGAUAGCAUUUUAAAUGAUGUAUCCGCAUACUCUCCUGUACGAAUUCAACUAUAUAACUUUGUUCUUGCUUUCACAUGUAAAAUUUAACAAUAUCGUAAAACAGCUGUCAAUUUUUACAUGCCUUUUAUUUUACGACAAUCUUGCAAAUAUGCGAGACCAUUUUCAGUGGCAAUCAUGGCAAGUUUACGCAAUGCACAAUCAGCUGAUAAUGCAAAGCGUUUAUUUGGUUCAAAAUAUAAAAUUAAAAGAUAAUUUGAGAAACCAACAGCACAAAUAUUUUAUGAUAAAAUAUCAGACAUAUAGUAGAAAAAAACGACACAUUUUGUAUUACAACGAUAUUGGUGAUUAAAUUUUUUAUGUUGCCGCUCUCUUGAAAAAUAGACUUUUUUGAGUUGUGACACUAUUCAUGUAAAUGAGCGAUAUGUCAACAACUUAGAACAGAAAAUAUCUUUGGGAAAAAAACUAACGAGUUCUAGGCUCCCUGAAAUGAACCGCAGACUUCCCAGUCUGGUGAUCAAGUUGGAGUUUUAAUAAAAUACAAUUAAUAAUAUUAGUAUUUAUGAAUUUGUAUUUCAAAUACUUACCAUGCAGAUUUAUGGUGCAUGUGGUAUUGUUGCCGCGAUCCAAAACAACAACACUGGUAGCGUGUGCUGUCGCCGACGCAGCUGUUCCUGAAGUCGCCAUUAUGAUGUAAUUGUUCCGAUUUUGUUUAGAAACUAAUCCCCAAAUUAUCAAUUAUCUCUUAUAUUUGUUUUUAUAUUUUGACUAACUCUUUAACAA